CAACCCUUCUGGUCUGAGGGGGCAGGCCAGAUCCCACUGCCUAGAAGACCCAGAAGAGGAGGAGCUGGCAGGAGGGAGUGAGCCCAAGCUUCCCCUUCUGACUCUGUGGCUAGACUAGGAGCUUCUUGGAAGGCGGCGACGAGGGCGGCUGCCCAAAACUUUCUGCCUGGUUCUAGUUGCUUGUCUGGAGAUGGAGCCACUACAGGCAGGGCCUGGGCGCCUGGAGUCGAGCAUGAAAGGAAAUAGCGCCUCAUCGCUCUUAUCUAAGCCCAGAGGUCGACUUCGCUUGAAAAAAUCGAGAAUGGGGGAGGGCAUCGGCACUCACUUGCAGACAUCAACAGUUUCCAGAAAACUCGGUUUAAUUCCUUCACCACGGACCCACCAACCAAGGAGCUGGCAAGACCCACCAGCCAACCAGGAGAACACAGACCCGGUUUGUCUUUUGACAACCGAGUGGAACUGCCGGGGCCGGCGCCUGCCCUGCGGGUCCCCUCCCUUGGCUGAGAAGAAAACCAAAUAAACCUUGAACAGCCUUGGCUUCG